rnacentral:misc_RNA from 1 species
GACGUGCAGCAGGCUUGGUGACUGUACCACCACUACCUGUUCCGGUGGCGCUGAACUCCACUGUGUAGAUAGUCAGUGUACCUGUACUACCGCUGCCGGGGGCACAGGAGGUUGUACCGACAAUGGUGAUUGCCAUGGCAGAUGCCAUAAUGGAGGAAGACAUCACUGCAUAAAUGGACAUUGCAGAUGCAGCCACUAAAUGUCACACUCUCAAAUCAUUUAACAAUAAACUGAUUAUU